rnacentral:rRNA from 1 species
AACGCGAAGAACCUUACCUAAGCUUGACAUCCUUUUGACCGAUGCCUAAUCGCAUUUUUCCCUUCGGGGACAGAAGUGACAGGUGGUGCAUGGUUGUCGUCAGCUCGUGUCGUGAGAUGUUGGGUUAAGUCCCGCAACGAGCGCAACCCUUGCCUUUAGUUGCCAGCAUUAAGUUGGGCACUCUAGAGGGACUGCCAGGGAUAACCUGGAGGAAGGUGGGGAUGACGUCAAAUCAUCAUGCCCCUUAUGCUUAGGGCUACACACGUGCUACAAUGGGUGGUACAGAGGGCAGCCAAGUCGUGAGGCCGAGCUAAUCCCUUAAAGCCAUUCUCAGUUCGGAUUGUAGGCUGAAACUCGCCUACAUGAAGCUGGAGUUACUAGUAAUCGCAGAUCAGAAUGCUGCGGUGAAUGCGUUCCCGGGUCUUGUACACACGC